GCCAUCGUAGCUCAGUGGUGGAGCACCUCCUUGGUAAGGAGGGGGUCCCCGGUUCGAUCCCGGGCGAUGGCU
rnacentral:tRNA from 1 species